rnacentral:rRNA from 1 species
GACGAACGCUGCCGGCGUGCUUAACACAUGCAAGUUGAACGGAAAUAUUGACUUCGGUUGAUAUUUUAGUAGCGGACGGGUGAGUAACGCGUGAGCAACCAACCUUUGUGAGGGGGACAACAGCUGGAAACGGCUGCUAAUACCGCAUAAGACCACGGUUUCGCAUGGAACUGAGGUAAAAGAUUUAUCGCACAAAGACGGGCUCGCGUCCCAUUAGCUAGUUGGUGAGGUAACGGCUCACCAAGGCUUCGAUGGGUAGCCGACCUGAGAGGGUGAUCGGCCACACUGGAACUGAGACACGGUCCAGACUCCUACGGGUGGGCAG